GACGAACGCUGGCGGCGUGCCUAAUACAUGCAAGUCGAGCGAAUCUCAGGGAGCUUGCUCCCUGAGAUUAGCGGCGGACGGGUGAGUAACACGUGGGUAACCUGCCUGUAAGACUGGGAUAACUUCGGGAAACCGGAGCUAAUACUGGAUACUUUCUUUUCUCGCAUGAGGGAAGAUGGAAAGAUGGUUCUGCUAUCACUUACAGAUGGACCCGCGGCGCAUUAGCUAGUUGGUGAGGUAACGGCUCACCAAGGCGACGAUGCGUAGCCGACCUGAGAGGGUGAUCGGCCACACUGGGACUGAGAUACGGCCCAGACUCCUACGGGAGGCAGCAGUAGGGAAUCUUCCGCAAUGGACGAAAGUCUGACGGAGCAACGCCGCGUGAGCGAAGAAGGCCUUCGGGUCGUAAAGCUCUGUUGUUAGGGAAGAACAAGUACGAGAGUAACUGCUCGUACCUUGACGGUACCUAACCAGAAAGCCACGGCUAACUACGUGCCAGCCGCCGCAGUAAGAC
rnacentral:rRNA from 1 species